rnacentral:lncRNA from 1 species
UUGGGAAGAAAGCUGAGGUGACGAAAUCAAGAAUUUAUUUUUGUUGUUUUUAAUUUUAUUCUACAAAAUUGGUGGGAGUUGGAAAAGCAUUGGGAGCUUAAGAAGGUGAAUUACAAGUGAGAGAGUUGUUGGGCUAUUCCAUGUAAAUGGUGAUGACGAUCAGUGUCAAUGAUCAUGCACAAAGCAAACCAAACCAAACCAAAUAGUGAAAAAGUUGGAUGGGAUUGAGUGAGGUAGGUUUGGGUUGGGUUGGGUCUCUCUAUUCAAUGAAAGCUGCACGUGGUACCUGCCUUUGCCACUCCUCUUGAGGAACUAGUAUUAGUAGUAGUUCCUAGCUACCCCCUCUCUCUCUCUCUCUCUCUUUCUCUCUCCUUUGUGAGUGGUGCGAAUAAAUUAGUUGUGAUAAUUCAAAUAAUGAGUAAAAAAGGGGUUCAAAGAAUUGGGGUUUGGCUGGGUAGAAGGAGGAGAUGAAUGUGACGUCACGAAAGGGAUGAAUGAAUCUAAUCUACCACAACACAUGUAAACAAAUAUGUAGCAUGAUUGAGGUGCCUCUCUUGACUAUGCGUUGUGUUGUUGUUUUGUUCUGUUGGUGGUCACUGCUCUUCUCCACCAACCCUUCUUCCCUGUAUGAGUCAAAUAUGGAAGCUGUGUUCCUUCCUCCAACUUCAUCAAUUUCAAUUACA